rnacentral:rRNA from 1 species
UUACCCUACGGGACGCAGCAGUGAGGAAUAUUGGUCAAUGGCCGAGAGGCUGAACCAGCCAAGUCGCGUGAGGGAAGACGGCCCUACGGGUUGUAAACCUCUUUUGUCGGGGAGCAAAGCGAGUCACGUGUGACUCAUUGAGUGUACCCGAAGAAAAAGCAUCGGCUAACUCCGUGCCAGCAGCCGCGGUAAUACGUAGGUGGCAAGCGUUGUUCGGAAUAACUGGGCGUAAAGGAUGCGUAGGCGGUUAAACAAGUUAUAUGUUAAAUAUAUAGGCUUAAC